ACGCUUGUGUCCCCGAGGAAGGGACACGCUGCCCGGCAGCUGCGGGCUCGCCGUGCGCACAGGCGGGGAGAGCGAGCCCGGCUCCGAGCGCGCAGCACCGGGCACCUUCAGGGACAGCAUGGGGCCGGCUCCGGCCGGGGUCACCCUUUGUGGGUGCCACAAAGGCACCGCACCCCGCGGGAGAGAUGAGCAGCGCUCGCAGAUUUACGGCGAUUGCAGAGAGGCAGCAGGACAGCGGCUGCGGCAGCGUGUUUGAAGAGGAAUUCUGUGAGGCUGUAGUAGUUCCUGAGCUGCUGCUCUGCACAUCCCUGUGCUGUUCUCCAGAGGUGGUGAGGGCAGAGCUGAUCCUGCCCCUGUGACAAUACCUGUGAGGAUGUUUCCUCUUCUGCAAUCGGGAGCAGGCACCGUGCAGAGGGGUUGUACAGUGGUAGGUAACUUCAUCCUGAAGAAUCACCAGCUGAAAGAAGUCCUCAGACAGAAGUUAUACUCUUUAGCUGUGGAGGGUGAACAAGUGGUGGAAGGAGGAAGAGUUAAUCGCCUUGCUGGGGCUGGGGGCCCCAAGGACUCCUUGAUUUGCAGACCAAGAAUUGCCUGCACCCCAGCAGCUUUACCUCUUCCUCCUGCUGCCCAUGAGGAGCAAAGGCAAGAUCAUCACCAUGUUCCACCUGCCCAGGGAGCCCUUCUGGCUGAUUAAAAGGCAAAUUAAGUUCUGACUUCACUUCUGUUCAUUAAGGCACAGACCCCACGGCAGGAGCAAUAAACCCAUGGUGGACGCUUU